GAUGAACGCUGGCGGCGUGCCUAAUACAUGCAAGUCGAGCGAACAGACGAGUAGCUUGCUCCUCUGACGUUAGCGGCGGACGGGUGAGUAACACGUGGAUAACCUACCUAUAAGACUGGGAUAACUUCGGGAAACCGGCGCUAAUACCGGAUAAUAUAUUGAACCGCAUGGUUCAAUAGUGAAAGACGGUUUUGCUGUCACUUAUCGAUGUAUCCGCGCCGCAUUAGCUUGUUGGGAAGGUAACGCCUUACCAAGUCAACGAUGGGUAGCCGACCUGGGAGGGGGAUCGGCCACACUGGAAGUGAGACACGGUCCAGACUCCUACGGGAGGCAGCAGUAGGGAAUGGGCGGCAAUGGGCGAAAGCCUGACGGAGCAACGCCGCGUGAGUGAUGAAGGUCUUCGGAGCGUAAAACUCGGUUAUUAGGGAAGAACAAAUGUGUAAGUAACUAUGCACGUCGUGACGGUACCUAAACAGAAAGCCACGGCUAACUACGUG
rnacentral:rRNA from 1 species